rnacentral:lncRNA from 1 species
AUGGAUGACUACAGAACACGAAACGCGGCCUAUGAAGGCCAUGGGUUGAAACGAAGUACGGAAGAGCGGUCAGAUAAGACUUCACCAUGUUCAGCAAUUUCUCUUGGACCAACGCUUUGUAAUGUGAACGAAGUCUCCUUUCAGCUUUAUCUGACACUCACUGCUUCAGAUGAAAUAAUAUCACCAGGAAUAUCUCCAGCUCGACUCGACACAGUUUGUACUCACUUUGCAAAACAGCAGGAACCUAAGAUUCUUUCUGGAACGCUCAGCAUUCUCUCGAAUUUCAGAUUUGUGCAUUUUACUGCCUAA